GAACAUCUCUGAAUAUAAACAUGGAAAACUUCCAUAACAUCUGUUGCAAAUUUCUGCCAGCUGAAAAGUGAUAAUGAUCAUGAAUAUUUUUGUUGAUGAUGCGGAUACAUUGGUCUAACUAAAUUAACUUGCAGACUAUGGGUAUCUAAUAGAAAACACAUGAGUUGUAAUAUCACCUGGUUAGCUUUAUGUUUAGUUACAUUUUUAAUUGUU
rnacentral:lncRNA from 1 species